GACGAACGCUGGCGGCGUGCUUAACACAUGCAAGUCGAACGGAAAGGCCCUGCUUUUGUGGGUUGCUCGAUUGGCGAACGGGUGAGUAACACGUGAUUAACCUGCCCUUGACUUUGGGAUAACUUCAGGAAACUGGGGCUAAUACCGGAUAGGAGCUCCUGCUGCAUGGUGGGGGUGGGAAAGUUUCGGCGGUUGGGGAUGGACUCGCGGCUUAUCAGCUUGUUGGUGGGGUAGUGGCUUACCAAGGCUUUGACGGGUAGCCGGCCUGAGAGGGUGACCGGCCACAUUGGGACUGAGAUACGGCCCAGACUCCUACGGGAGGCAGCAGUGGGGAAUAUUGCACAAUGGGCGGAAGCCUGAUGCAGCAACGCCGCGUGCGGGAUGACGGCCUUCGGGUUGUAAACCGCUUUCGCCUGUGGCGAAGCGUGAGUGACGGUAAUGGGUAAAGAAGCACCGGCUAACUACGUG
rnacentral:rRNA from 1 species